AUUGAGGUCUAUCCCGAUGGGUCUUUUUCUGUAGACUUACAUCGUUGGAAACGCCUCAUAGAAUAAAUAUGUUGUUUCCUUUAUUCACAGAACUGCGUGUUAGAUCUGUGGGAAGGAAUUACAAGACAGCU
ensembl:snoRNA small nucleolar RNA SNORA18